AAUAGAUACCCGGGUAGUCCACGCCGUAAACGAUGAGUGCUAAGUGUUAGGGGGUUUCCGCCCCUUAGUGCUGCAGCUAACGCAUUAAGCACUCCGCCUGGGGAGUACGGUCGCAAGACUGAAACUCAAAGGAAUUGACGGGGGCCCGCACAAGCGGUGGAGCAUGUGGUUUAAUUCGAAGCAGCGCGAAGAACCUUACCAGGUCUUGACAUCCCGCUGACCGCUAUGGAGACAUAGCUUUCCCUUCGGGGACAGCGGUGACAGGUGGUGCAUGGUUGUCGUCAGCUCGUGUCGUGAGAUGUUGGGUUAAGUCCCGCAACGAGCGCAACCCUUGUCCUUAGUUGCCAUCAUUCAGUUGGGCACUCUAAGGAGACUGCCGUACAAAUACGGAGGAAGGUGGGGAUGACGUCAAAUCAUCAUGCCCCUUAUGACCUGGGCUACACACGUGCUACAAUGGACGGUACAAACGGUUGCGAAGUCGCGAGACGGAGCCAAUCCGAGAAAGCCGUUCUCAGUUCGGAUUGCAGGCUG
rnacentral:rRNA from 1 species